AGCGAACGCUGGCGGCAGGCCUAACACAUGCAAGUCGAACGAAGCCUUCGGGCUUAGUGGCGGACGGGUGAGUAACACGUGGGAACGUACCUUUUGGUUCGGAAUAACGCAGAGAAAUUUGCGCUAAUACCGAAUGAGCCCUUAGGGGGAAAGAUUUAUCGCCGAAAGAUCGGCGCGCGUUGGAUCAGGUAGUUGGUGUGGUAAAGGCGCACCAAACCUACGAUCCAUAGCUGGUCUGAGAGGAUGAUCAGCCACACUGGGACUGAAACACGGCCCAGACUCCUACGGGAGGCAGCAGUGGGGAAUCUUGCGCAAUGGGCGAAAGCCUGACGCAGCCAUGCCGCGUGGAUGAUGAAGGUCUUAGGAUUGUAAAAUUCUUUUACCAGGGACGAUAAUGACGGUACCUGGAGAAAAAGCCCCGGCUAACUUCGUGCCAGCCGCCGCGGUAACAA
rnacentral:rRNA from 1 species